rnacentral:lncRNA from 1 species
CACUAGGGUGGGUGGAGCCUCAGAAGAGGCCACGGAAGGGAAGGUGAAGCGGGCUUGGGAGAAUCCUGAGUCCUAAAGAAGGCUGGACAGUGAUCCAUCAUGUUUUUCCCUCUCUGGUGCCGGUAAAUGGGAAGGAGCAAAUGGACUCCUCAUCGAACGGCCACAGGACACCAGCUGCAGUCCAGAAUGCCUGCUGCCAGCCUCCACGGCUGGCGCAUCUGAGGUCUUCAAGUGGAUCUCCUCAUCAGAAGGCAGGACGAGGUCCUCAGGUUAGGUUCAUGAUAGAUCAAAGCUUCACACCAAGGUGUGGUGGUGGCGGCUAAAAUUUUCAAACAUACCUUGCUCUUGAGGCUAUCAGUAUGGGUGCCAAGGAAGCUCUAGGGCACAGAAGUGCUUUAUGAACUGAACAGGUCAGACAGCACCGAAAGCUCUUGGCCUGCCUCAGUGCCCGAGUGACACACCACUAUUCAACCUCCUAGCUUACCUGCAAAGCCCUCCUCACCAUUCACCAGCAAAAACUGAAAGAUAGCUGCAACCCAGUGGCCUGGGGAUUGUGAACUCUCAAAAUGACAACUUAUACUAUGAAAUGGUUGAUUCUGCCUGCUUCCCUGUCCUCUGCUGGAGGACUCCCAUUUCCCGAUACCCUACAGCAACAGGGCUAGUUUGUGUCUUGGAGCAUCUAGUGUUCAUCUUGAGCAAAACUACAGAAACAGGCUGAGGGAGGUCUGGGGAGGGGGCACAUGAUGCUGUGGGAGAAGAAUCUCAGAAGGAAAGCCUGGUAAUGAAGAUGAGCUCCAAAUGAAGGCAUGGCAUUGGCUAGGCAGGAAUGGGCAAACAGAGAAAGCCUGCUUGGUCAGGAACAGUGGCUAGACAGUGCAGCCAACAAAGCAAGUCUGUUCCCUGUCCAGAGGAUGCUCCAGGGACAGCCCAUUGCCUCCAUUCAUAUAAUGUGUCUGUAACAACUAGGAAAUAUUCCCUCAUUGUCAUCGUUUGAAUAUGAUUGGCCCAGGGAGUGGCACUAUUUGGAGGUGUGGCCUUGUUGGAGUAGGUGUGUCACUGUGGGCAUGGAUUUAAGACCCUUGUCCUAGCUUCCUGGAAGUGAGUAUUCUGCUAGCAGCCUUCAGAUGAAGAUGUAGAACUCUCAGCUCCUCCUGUAUCAUGCCUGCCUGGAUGCUGCCAUGUUCCUGCCUUGGUGAUAGCGGACUGAACUUCUGAACCUGUAAGCCAGCCCCAAUUAAAUGUUGUCCUUCUAAGAGU